rnacentral:rRNA from 1 species
UUAGAGGAAGUAAAAGUCGUAACAAGGUUUCCGUAGGUGAACCUGCGGAAGGAUCAUUAUUGAAUAAACUUGGUUGGGUUGCUGCUGGUUCUUCGGAACAUGUGCACACCUGGCGCCAUUUUUACCACCUGUGCACCUUUUGUAGACCUGGAUAUCUCUCGAGGAAACUCGGUUUGAGGACUGCUGUGCGCAAGCCAGCUUUCCUUACAUUUCCGGUCUAUGUUUUUAUAUACCCCAUCAGAAUGUAACAGAAUGUCAUUAAUAGGCCUUGGUGCCUUUAAAUAAAAUACAACUUUCAACAACGGAUCUCUUGGCUCUCGCAUCGAUGAAGAACGCAGCGAAAUGCGAUAAGUAAUGUGAAUUGCAGAAUUCAGUGAAUCAUCGAAUCUUUGAACGCACCUUGCGCUCCUUGGUAUUCCGAGGAGCAUGCCUGUUUGAGUGUCAUUAAAUUCUCAACCUUUCUGGCUUUUAUUAGUCCGUUAGGCUUGGAUGUGGGAGUUGCGGGCUUCUCAGAAGUCAGCUCUCCUUAAAUGCAUUAGCGAAACCUUUGUUGACCAUCUCUGGUGUGAUAAUUAUCUACGCCAUUGGGAAGCAGCUUUAAAAUCGGUUUAGCUUCUAACCGUCUUCUGGACAAUUCUUGACAUUUGACCUCAAAUCA